rnacentral:rRNA from 1 species
GCCAUAAAACUCCCAAAACCAGCAGUGAGGAAUUUUGCGCAAUGGGGGCAACCCUGACGCAGCCACGCCGCGUGAGUGAAGAAGGCCUUUGGGUCGUAAAACUCUGUCAGCAGGGAAGAAGUUAUGGGAUGUUAAUACCCUUUCAUAUUGACGGUACCUGCAAAGGAAGCACCGGCUAACUCCGUGCCAGCAGCCGCGGUAAUACGGAGGGUGCAAGCGUUAUUCGGAAUUAUUGGGCGUAAAGGGCGCGUAGGCGGCCUGCCAAGUCAGAUGUGAAAGCCCGGGGCUUAACCCCGGAAGUGCAUUUGAUACCGGUAGGCUUGAGUAUGGGAGAGGAAAGUGGAAUUCCUGGUGUAGAGGUGAAAUUCGUAAAUAUCAGGAGGAACACCGGUGGCGAAGGCGGCUUCCUGGACCAAUACUGACGCUGAGGCGCAAAGGCGUGGGUAGCAAACAGGAUUAGAUACCCUGGUAGUCCACGCAGUAAACGUUGAUCACUAGGUGUAGCGGGUAUUGACCCCUGCUGUGCCGAAUCUAACGCAUUAAGUGAUCCGCCUGGAAAGUACGAUCGCAAGAUUAAAACUCAAAGGAAUUGACGGGGGCCCACACAAGCGGUGGAGCAUGUGGUUUAAUUCGACGCAGCGCAAAGAACCUUACCUGGGUUUGACAUCUGGGGAUCUUUAUGAAAAUAGAGAGUGCCCUUCAGGGAGCCCGAUGACAGGUGCUGCAUGGCUGUCGUCAGCUCGUGUCGUGAGAUGUUGAGUUAAGUCCCGCAACGAGCGCAACCCUUAUCUUCAGUUACCAUCAUUCGAGAGGGA